rnacentral:RNase_P_RNA from 1 species
GGGGCAAGCUGGGCAGUCGCGGUGCAUCGGCAUCGAGGAAGGUCCGGACUCCACAGGACAGGGUAGCGGCUAACGGCCGUCCAGGGGGCUCGUCGGCGUAAGCCGGCGGAUUUUCUGAGGAAUAGGGCCACAGAGACGAGUCUGCGGCGCGGGCCAGGCACCACGGCGUGCAGGGCACUGCUACGGCCACUCCGUAGUGUGCGUCGGCACUAUGCCGACGUGGCGCAGCAGGGUGAAACGCGGCAACCUCUAUCCGGAGCAACACCAAAUAGGCGUGCGCCUGGUCUUCGGGCCAAAAGGGCGGUCCGUCCGAGCACGCGGGUAGGUGGCUAGACCGCGCCAGCAAUGGCGCGGCCAGAUGAAUGAUUGCCCGCUGGGGUCACCCGGCGUACAGGAUCCGGCCUAUAGGUUUGCCCCGCAU